ACAUGCAAGUCGAACGUGAAAGUCCCUUCGGGGAUGAGUAAAGUGGAGUCCGGGUGAGUAACACGUGGGUAAUCUACCUCCGGGUGGGGAAUAAC
rnacentral:rRNA from 1 species